AUGGUUUUGUAGGCAAAUUUUGAGCUUUCUGUGUCUUCUUUAGAACACAGAAUGAUUGGACGACCCUGAAAAUACAAUUUUGCACUGUUUUCAAGCCCAAUGCAGCCUGAACACCUGCUCUGAGUUACCUGUGCUGCUCUCGAAAUUCACCCUUCCUCUCAUCGUGUUGACAACUGAUUCUGGCUGCUCAAAGAUUUCCUUCUGCAUGAAGGCACUGAAGUUACCUGUUUACAAAAGCAUGACAUGAUGUUUCAACCCACCCUUCAUGAUUUGCUGCAAUUCCAUCUGCAAGGUUUGGAUGGCCCGGGAAGGAUCAUCACUGGCCGAACGCUCCAGACGGUGAAUUGAGAGCUUCCCAUCAGUUACUGCUGCAAUGUCAUCAUCUUCUAGGAAAAUCACUCUGUUGGUGUGCUCAAUGAUAGCACUGCAGAAAAAAAACAGAAACAAAACAAAACCUGACACAUCAGAGCUUGUAAUAGUAAAGCAAUUAAAUAUGUCACAGCAGCACUUCCA